ensembl:lncRNA
CAAAAUAAUGCUCAAGUGCCACAAUCAGGGAUCCAGUGAGGGCCAGCUUGAGCUGCAGUUGACAGCGUGGAAGACCACAUGGAACACCUUAUUGCAUCACAUUAGGAGACUACUGAAAGUGAUUGAAGAUACCGCCAACCUCAUCCCCUAGCAUAUGUAUCUUCUACUACUCCAACUCAGUCUCUUGCUGUGUAAGAACUCGAAUGUCAUCACAAGGAAUUUAUCAUGAUUGUGACUUGAUGACAGAAGACGUAUUUCCAGUCCUUGAUUGCUAAAUACUUAGGAAAAAAUAUUACCUUGACUUUCUCUUCUCCUACACAACAUGGAGUGUGAAAUAGAGACCUAUCAUACAUGAUUUUUGUGAAGGAAAAUUCCAUAAAGUAUUUUAAUAUGGUAGUAUUUGAAACGUGAGUGGAGAAGAUAGGGGGUGCACUAUGAUGAGCAUAAUAUUUGGUAGGAGAGCCAGCUUUCUGAAAACUUUGGUUGCUAGCUCUUGUUCAGAUGCUACUUAGAUUUAUGUUAACCCAGCUACUGGGAGUCUGCAUGGUGAGACAAGUCAGGGAAUUCAGCAAAGUUAGAAAGAACACAGAAGAAUGUGUAUGUAUUUUCUGAAGCACUGUAUUUUCACUGUAUGAUUGCAGGGAAAAAAAGAAAAAAGUAUCAGCAUUAAGUAAAGGAAGGAGGUGGAAUAAUAGCUGCUUAAAUCAUAUUAAAUCAAAUACUUUCUAAGUCACAGCUUGAGGUAUAAGUGGACUUUGUUUGUUAAAAAAAAUGUGUCUGGCAGCUGACGGAGCAAUUGAUAAGGACAAUCUGAAGAAAAAUACUUAUGGGGAAAAGGGUGUGAUAGAGGACAGUGAAGACCUACUUUGGGAGCAAAUCAAGCAAAAUGGUUCUCUGAAGAGCAAGUAAAUGAGAUGCUAAUGAAAUAUUAAAUCAUUGCCAGAAAAUAGAAUACAUGAGUUUACACAAUAUUUAUGAUAGAUAAAUUAUAUAUCCUCCUAGAAAAUAGAAUUUAGAAGUAGCAAUUCAAAAAGAUGCUUGGAAGAUUCCAGAUAGAGAUCAUGAAAUUGGAGAGUAUCUAGUGAAGGGAUAAGCAUCAGUGCAAAAGUACAUUUCCUUCUAAUCAUUUAAUGAAUGCUUCUGGUAUUUGAUUUUAGCUGUUUCCUCAUCUAACUUAGAUUUGUUUGUGAAGUACAAGCUGGUGCUUUAUGCAGAAUCUGAAGAUGACAGGAAUUUCAGGAUUGGGUUUAGAUCAAGACACAAGAUCUCUUUAAAAUGCUUAUUCAAGAAACCAGUAGUUAACAGAUUCAUUGUCCUUUAAAAAGAAAAAAUGGGUGAAUAAUACUUAAAAUCAUUCUGUAUAAAAUAGUUCUGGGUAUACAGUUCUGUGAGUCUAACUGUAUGCAAUUUACAGAAGAUAUAUAACGGUAGAUACCACAGAGACUUUUUGUGUGGUAGAUAUCAUGCAGACACAGAACAAAGAAAUUGUAUUAUCAGAAAUGAAGUGUUAAACCAGCACUUUAAAAUCACUUUAUACCAUUUUGACUCCCUGAUCUGUAUGUUACACGAGUCUCAUACUCUGGGUUAUAAGUUUUUAAAAUGAUUUCUAAGUCUCUAUUUUACGUAAAUUAUGUCAUCUUUCAAUCUCAGUAGCUUUGGCACAUUUUAUCACCCCAAGCAGGUCGUAAUUUGUUAGCUUUCUUUGCUUGAACUGAGUAGUAUAGUAUUAUAUUAGGUUCUUUUUUUUCUCAUUUUAAAAUGACUUUAUAUGACAAACACUGGACUGUGAGAGAUCUACUCUGACUAUUCAAGGACUCCUCAGAACUAAUAAAUGUUGUGAAAUGGCUUCUGACAAUCUGGUACUUUUUCAGUAAUGAAGAAGUAGAAGUCAGCAGCUCCCUACCUAUAAGCCCUAAGAUUUAGAGUACGUGGGGACAUGAGCCGCUUUGGUUUACUUAGAUUCAAUUUUUACCACCAGUUUUGUCUAUAAGCAGUGAAGAAUACAUAUAUAUCUUAAGGCAGCCCAGUGCUUCAGAGAGUGGAAACCUGAAGCCAGCUAACCAUGUCCCAAAGGGUAAUCCCAUUAAAAACAAUGUUAGGGAUUAGUGUGGGAUGUAUUUUUUGAAAGCAAUUUGUAUUCCACUGAAGGCAAACUUUCAAAAGCAGAGUUAGAAGUUAGCAUCAAAGAGUUAACCCUAUAUAAGCAUUGUGUCAUUAAUUUUCAAGGCCUUCUUACCCAUCCUUCCCAGGGAGAGGCUGGUUUUAGGCAGUUGAAAUUGCAGAGAUCAAAACGCUUAUUAAAGAUUUAUUAGGGUAAGGAAUAUACUGUACCUACUACAGAAGAUAAUUUAUAUAUCCUACCACAUUUCUGGAAACAGUGAAUUUUGAUAGAUUCAUGGAAGGCUAAGGACUGUCUGAAAAUGUGGUGGCAGCUCAUGUAGUAAAUAGAACAGGCCAAGGACUGCUCUCUGCUCCUGGGGCCAUCUGGCACAACGUAUCCAUGGGACUGAGUUUUCUUCAUCCCAAAACAAAGCAGCAGCAUCCACACACCUACAGGAUGUGGUCACUGACCAUGUGAAGCCUAGCAUCAUGCCUGGGAGGAAAGAUAGUGUGCUUGGGACAAAAUUUACUAAUAUGCAGUAUGGACAGUUACGUGCCAAAGCCUGGACAGGUCCACUGGUACUGUCUCUGUGUUGGUACAGACUUAGCCAAAGACUACAGUGGAGCAGCUGCAGAAUUACAGACAGCAAGGAGGACAGCUAAGACAGUGGAGGUUGUAUAGAUAAGGUGUAGAUUUAGAAUUUAAAAAAUAGAGUUCAAACCAUAGAUGGCUGCUCAAGAUGCUUUUAAAAUGUAGCUAAACUCCUAAUGUUUGGGCGUACUCUCCCUUUUAGUGGGAAUGAAGGAUUUAACGUAAUGUUAAUGACAUUUAAAGUGUCAGAUGGUUUCUGCAUUUUCUUCCACAGCUUCUGCUGUAUAUCUAAAGGGAUAUAUGAGGAUAAUUGGCAAAUACCUUCUAAAAGCAAGGUAAUUUACAAAUAUAUGUGAAUCACCAACCCACAUAAAGCUAUCAGAAGGGCAGUGUUGUAUAAGAUUGCUGUUUAAAAAUUGCUGUACUUCACAGAUAUUAAAUGAUCACCGUAUCCUUAAGAAAAAAGUUUGGGCAAGGUUGUGGCCAGUUUCAGAUGUGGCAUUUGCUACAAAUGGUGUUCCUUCAAGUUUUAGUUUAGAUAAUUUCUAUAACUUUGCUGUUUGUUACUGCACAUAACUGUAGAAGUCUGUAGAAAUAUCACUCUGUAAAUGGAAUCCUGAACUCUUCCCUCCAGUGAAUAUCUGUGGUGUUUAGUGGGAGUUAGUCAUGAAGUGUGACCAGAUUUUAUGAUGUUAUUCAAGAAUUUUACCAGUUUUGUAACAAAUUAUAGAUAUUCUGCAUGGAAAAUUUGACAGAAAAAACUAGGAAACAGUGAACUGUUUUUGUAGUAGUUAAUGUCAAGGUAUAUAUACAGUCCCACGGAUCCUACUGAACAUGAUAUUCAUUACAUAGUUACAAAGGCAGAGUUUAAAAAUACAAAUUUUGUGAAAGCCACAAGCCCCCUGUUGUCAUAAUACAUUAUAAGAAAUUAAUCUACUGUUUCUUUUAUUUAAAAACAAGCAAAAAGCAAACAAACAACAAAAAAAAAAAACACACAAUGAAAUCAGAUCACUUGAAGUGUUUGAAUGUUUGUCUAAGGGUUUAUAUGUUUAAAUCUUUAUGAAGGACGUAAUUAAAAAUUAGAGAGUUGUGAGAUUCUGCAAUGGACUAAACCUUGAAGUAAAUUGUGAUGGUAAGGUGGGUGCUUGUGCACUGUGUCAGAAUGAAAUGCAGACUGAUGCAUUUGACUUCGUAAAGAAAAAUGAUAUCUGGAUAGUAGUCAUCCAGACUUUCCAGACAAAAAGAGAAAUUCCACGUGGCCUGGGUUCACGUUAUGCGAGGAACGUGCUGAGGUCCAGCUGCUAUUAAAAUAAAAAUUAUAUACUUAAAGUUAGGCAGGAACUUAAAGUCUUCUAAAUUCUCUUUCUAGUACUUUUAUUGAAUUAUUGCUUUAUUAGACAAGUUUAGAAGUCUUCUGUUGCUGUCUAUCUUAAUGUCUCUUACAUUUAAUCUAGUGGUUGGCAACUGUGCCCACAGCAGGGGGUUGAAACUAGAUGAUCUUUAAGUCCCUUUCAACCUAAGCCAUUCUUUGAUUCUAUGAUCUCAUGUAUCUUCAUUUGUAUCUACUAAGAAUGGAGAUCAUCAAUGAAUUUCAUAUUUCUUUUAAAAAGAGUCUGUUCUGUUGCCUGUAUCAGUUCCGCUGUAAUAAACAGAAAUAAGUCUUCCAGUACAUUCACCUCCUUCUGAGCUGUUUAUCAAGCAAAGUUCUUUGUAUCAUUCUACUUCAGCUUCUGAGAAAGAUAACACUGCUCAAAAUGGUACAGCAUCUGUUGGAUUGCACAAAACCCUACAUAGUUUUAUUAUAGAGCUGCCUGCAAGAUCUUAAUUAAUUGUUCGCAUAUGAAACAAUGACAAAUAGUGUUUCAUUAGGUGGUGAUAUUUUUAAUGCUGACUUAUAUCCCUAUGUCUGUUUGGACUGUGUGUGUGUAAAGAGGUUAGUGAAUUCAUACUGCAUUAAAAGUAUAUAUAUGAAAUAUUUAGAGAAAGAAAUUGCAAAAUACUACACCAAAACCACCACCACCAACAAAAAGCAACAACAAAAAUCCAUGUGGCCAGCUCUGUUAGCACAGAGAGCUAUUUUCUAUUUUGUUUCUAUUUUAUCUGAGAAAGAAGCUUUGUUUGGCAUGCUUUUGUUACCUUUGCUACAGAACCUCCCAGGCACAUUGCAUUUAGAGCCAUCUGAGGAGCCAGGCCAACUCCACAAGCUGAGAGCAGACUCCUGGCAGGUGCUAAGAUUUUCUCUGCUCACUGGCUGUCCAGCACAGUGAGAGCAUUCUUGGGACCCACCUGGUGCAAACUUUGUGAUAUUUUAAUGUUACCACCGUUUCCAACUCACUGAAGCUGAUAUUUAGCUCCACACACAGUUUCCUGGUUGUAAUCCAUAAAUUUUUGGGAUCAAGCUGCUUAAGGCGCUCUUCAUUUUGUGGUGUGAUGGCUGUGCAUGGCUGUCCAGAACACGUCUUUUUCACAUCACUGUCACCACUGCUGAAAUGCACCACCGCCUCACUGUGCUCACAUCCACAGUUUGAUCUCCAUCAACAUUCACCAAGCACCAAUGAAUGUCAAUGGGUGCAUUUAUUUCUGCGUGGAGGAAUUCAGUGACACACCUUUGCUUGAUGUGCACUUCCAUGUCAGAUGCCAUUUUGUCAGACUGCCCCUCUGCUGCUAUCUGUCACAUGGCAAGAAAAUGUAAUGGAAUAUUGGCAGGAGUGUUCAACUUCAACUUCCAUAUUGCCAAUAUCCACCUCGGAUAUCUUGGGCUUACAUAGUAAAACAAAUGGCAUUACUUUUCAGAGGAGUCCUCAUAUAGGAAAGUCUGUGAGUAACUGUAUCGAUUUAUCCUGAAUUUGAAGAAUCUCCACACUGCUUUAACAGGAGCAACUGCAGUUUCCCUGGACUUCAGGAACCUGGAUUCAACACCUAGAGGUGGGAUACUUGUGGAAUUCUUCCAAGCUGAUGUGUAAGAACCCUGUCACUUGGGCUGUCAUUAGGAACUGCAACAGGCUUGAUUCUUUGUUCUGCUCUUCUCCCACUGUGUUUCUGCACACAUCCCCAGCUAGAAUAAUUGACAAUGGAUGCUGUGUAUGGGACUGAACUGUUUUACAUAAGGGAAAAACUACACUAAGAAAUUUUCACAUUUUUAUAACAUACAGUCAAUAGUCAAAACCAAUAAACAGUAAUAUGUUUUCAUUUCAGUGAUGAUGAAAGCUGUAAUACUAGUUUUGUUUAUCAAUGGAGACCUCAUUUUUUUUUCUUUAGAUACAGAUGAAUAAGAAUUUGAGUUACACAUUUUAUUAAACAGAGAAACGCAGUUGUUUUGUUCUCUGGUUUAGGAGCACAGAUGGAAUGUAAAAGAGGGCAGGUGAAGGAGGCUUGAACACGAAUUUGUAACAAUUAGUAGGCUGGAUUACAACUUGUAAGUAAGAGUCAUGUGAUAUAAAUAUAUCAUGGCCACGUGGCCCAUUUGGGCUAUAUAUUGGGUGUAAAAUAGCAACUAAAUGUCUGGAAAGCAACUACUUGCCUGUCUAUGAGACAUCUGGCUUUUUUCCUCAUCUUGAGAAUAACUUGCUGCUGCAGCCAACUGUUGUGUUUCUGGGAACUGUUUUAUUUUCCUGCAUAAAAUGUAAGUGUAAUGUGACACAAACCAAUUUUCUCUUUUAGAUUACUUAGUAGAAUUUUUUAGUUUAUUUAUUUAUUUAUUUUGGAUCUUUGCUGCAGCAACCUCUGCUUCUUUUGCUACCCUUUUUGGCUGCCCUUCCUACCAGCCUCCUGGCCAACUAGUUGGGUUGGUUUAAUCAUUAUAUUUGGUACAGAUUCCCUGCAUUUAAAAGACCCAAUGCCUUUUCUUAAUGGUGUUUUUAUUAACACAGACCAGGAAAAGAUCAUUGAAUCACAGAAUUGCUUAAGCUGGAAGGGACCUUUAAAGGUCAUAUAAUCCAGUCCCCCUGCAAUGAACAGGGACACCUACAGCUAGAUCAGGUUGCACAGAGUCCAGUCAGCCUGACCUUGAAUAUCUCCAGGGAUGGGGCAGCCAUCACCUCUCUGGGCAACCUGUUCGAGUGCCUCACCACCAUUACUGUAAAAAUCAUUUUUCUUAUGUCCAAUCUAAAUCUCCCAUCUUUUAGUUUGAAAUUAUUUCUCCUUGUUCCAUCACAACAGACCCUGCUAAAGAGUCUGUCCCCUUCUUUCUUACAGCCCCCCUUUAGAAAAUGAAAGGCUGCUCUCAGGUCUCCCUGGAGCCUUCUCUUCUCCAGGUUGAGAAGCCCCAGCUCUCUCAGCCUGUCCUCAUAGAAGAGGCAUUCCACUCUUUGGAUCAUUUUUGUGGCCUUCCUCUGGAUGUGCUCCAACAGGUCCAUAUCUCUCCUGUGCUGAGGACUCCACAUCUGAAUGCAAUAUUCCAGAUGAGGUCCCACCAGUGCAGAGUAGAGGAGCAGGAUCACAUCUCUUGACGUGCUGGCCAUGCUUCUUUUGAUCCAGCCCAGGAUGCGUUUGGUUUUCUGGGCUGUGAGAGUACAUUGCUGGCUCCUAUAGAACUUGCCAUCCACCAGUAUCCCUAAAUCCUUUUCAGCAGGGCUGUGCUAUCCUUACAUCCCCCAGCCAUCCCUAAAUCCUUUUCAGCAGGGCUGUGCUCUAUCCUUUCAUCCCCCAGCUUGUAUUGACAGUAGGGGUUGCCACAACCCAGACGCAAGACCUUACUCUUGGCUUUGUUGAACCUCAUGAGGUUCUCCUGCACCCACUGUUCAGGCCUGUCUAGGUCUCCCUGGGUGACAUCCCAUCCCUCAGGCAUGUCGACCACACAACACAGCUUGGUGUCUUCAAAGCUCAUAGUAAAAAGGUUGCUGUUUUAUGAGCCAAAAUACAGCCAUCUGAAUGGUUUGGAGCUGGGAGACUGCAGCUACUUCUCUGUGUAUUACACUGUCAGAGGUGUCUCCUGGUGCUCUCCACUAGCCUGCAGUCAUAAGGGUAAUUUUCUUUAGAUCCUUACUGAUUUCUCACCCUCCUGAGGAAUGCUGAAGCAUCUAGAAAAACAGUGUGAAGGCAUUCACUUUUUGGAAAUAGAUACGGUGGAACAGUGAGAUACAGCUCACAGGCUACAAUUCUUCUUUCUUUUUCUGAAAUUUCCUUUCUAGUAAUAGAUUAAUUGAAUCCACUUCUCUAUUUCUGAAAACUACUGAGCUAGAUUAAAAGUCAAGCCUUCCACUUAUAUUUUUUAAAUUUUCUGUUUCCCAUCUUCAAAUGUUUCAUGAAACUGCCACUGACAGACAAAGAAACUGAACCUAAAGAUCACUAUUUCCCACUUGUUUACCCAGGACUCGUUGGUAUACAAAUGUUAACUUUUCUGGAGUAAUGAAACGAUUAUAUAUAUCACUUGUGAAUUUUUGGGAGCUAGUUGACAUAUAAUCUGGCAUUCUAUUUGUGCAAAAAGCAGAUUAGGUAUUUUGUGAUAUGUCUUUUAGGACAAACUAUGGAAAGAGCAUUAUUACAUGUAAUUCUGGUAACAAAGAAUGGAACAUUUGGGCGUGAAAUGAGUAAUAAUACUAUUGACGGACAGAAAAAAAUGCAUCUGUAUGUGUGUAUUUAUAUCUAUAACAACACUUGCAAAAUUGAAAAUUCUUUUACUGUCCUCUCCUGAUGAUUCUUUUCAGCCCUGAGCCAAGGUCCUUAGCAUGGUCUUUUCCCCCUGCUAUUCACUGUUGGGUUGCAAGGUUUAAUUUAACUACAACAUGAAUAAGGAGACAUUGCACUUCAAAGCAGUAACUCUCAGCAGUUCUAAAAUACAGACCUCUGUAGAAUCAUAGUAAAUUCACUCCUAAAUUGUCACUUUUUUUUUUUUUUUCCACUAAUUAUAGCAACUGAAUUAACAGACUGAGGCAACAGAAUAUAUGGGGUUAUUCAACUACAUU